CAUGGAGUCUUCUGUCUAGUCCUAUGGGCCCCAGGCCAGGUAAAACACAGCAUGGAGUCUUCUGUCUAGUCCUAUGGGCCCCAGGCCAGGUAAAACACAGCAUGGAGUCUUCUGUCCAGCCCUAUGGGCCCCAGGCCAGGUAAAACACAACAUGGAGUCUUCUGUCUAGUCCUAUGGGCCCCAGGCCAGGUAAAACACAGCAUGGAGUCUUCUGUCUAGUCCAAUGGGCCACAGGCCAGGUAAAACACAGCAUGGAGUCUUCUGUCUAGUCCAAUGGGCCCCAGGCCAGGUAAAACACAACAUGGAGUCUUCUGUCUAGUCCUAUGGGCCCCAGGCCAGGUAAAACACAACAUGGAGUCUUCUGUCUAGUCCAAUGGGCCCCAGGCCAGGUAAAACACAACAUGGAGUCUUCUGUCUAGUCCUAUGGGCCCCAGGCCAGGUAAAACACAGCAUGGAGUCUUCUGUCUAGUCCUAUGGGCCCCAGGCCUGGUAAAACACAGCAUGGAGUCUUCUGUCUAGUCUUAUGGGCCCCAGGUAAAACACAGCAUCUGACAAACUGGGAGCUAAGGGACAGCUGUUUGUCACUGGCUGGGUACAUGCAGGUAUGGUGGACGUUGAUGUGGCAACGGCAAGCACUGUUGGGGGAGGAGAUUGCUGUAGCCUCCGUUAUUAUAUGAAGAGGAGAUUAUAAUGAAGGCUACAGACAUAACGAGCUACAUCUAAGUACUUUGGCCUCAACCUUUAAUAAACAACAGCCUUUGAUCUGUUUUCACCCAGUGUACCUGAUGGAACUCACUGACUACCUUUUUAAUGGGCAUCUAUCAUUACUUUUGAAGGUACCGGUCGAUGUCUUAGUCCUACAAAUAGCUGGUUGGUCUGGUUUGUGUGUGGCUGCUUGCUGAAUAAGCUUUGUUGUGCAGAAUGCUGGUGGGAGGAAGGUAUUUAUCUUCCUCUGAGGUACAGGUCAUAGUUAAGCAGGAUGGCAGUUGUCUAUCUGAUGGACUCUUCCUGCUAAACCUGCUUGAAUGGGUUAGGGUUUCUGCUGCUGUGUCAGAUAUCACUGUGAAGAUUAAUGGGUUGUUGAGCUGUGUGUGUGUGUGUGUGUGU
ensembl:lncRNA